rnacentral:sRNA from 1 species
GCCAGGCACGGUGGCUCACACCUAAAAUCCUAGCACUUGGGAGGCCGAGGCAGGUGGAUUCCUUGAGCUCAGGAGUUCGAGACCAGCCUGGGCAACAGGGUGAAACCCUGUCUCUACAAAAAAUACAAUUAGCUGGGUGUGGUGGCACGUGCCUGUAAUCCCAGCUACUUGGGGGAACUGAGGCAGGAGGAACACCUGAACCUGGGAAGUGGAGGUUGCAGUGAGCUGAGAUCACACCACUGUACUCCAGCCUGGGCGACAGAGCAAGACUCGGUCUCA